rnacentral:rRNA from 1 species
GACGUAGGGCGCGAGCGUUGUCCGGGUUUAUUGGGCGUAAAGAGCUCGUAGGCGGCUUGUCGCGUCGACUGUGAAAACCCGUGGCUCAACCAUGUGGUCUGCAGUCGAUACGGGCAGGCUAGAAUUCGGUAGGGGAGACUGGAAUUCCUGGUGUAGCGGUGAAAUGCGCAGAUAUCAGGAGGAACACCGGUGGCGAAGGCGGGUCUCUGGGCCGAUAUUGACGCUGAGGAGCGAAAGCGUGGGGAGCGAACAGG